GAUGAACGCUGGCGGCGUGCCUAAUACAUGCAAGUCGAGCGAACGGACGAGAAGCUUGCUUCUCUAAUGUUAGCGGCGGACGGGUGAGUAACACGUGGAUAACCUACCUAUAAGACUGGGAUAACUUCGGGAAACCGUAGCUAAUACCGGAUAAUAUUUUGAACCGCAUGGUUCAAAAGUGAAAGACGGUCUUGCUGUCACUUAUAGAUGGAUCCGCGCUGCAUUAGCUAGUUGGUAAGGUAACGGCUUACCAAGGCAACGAUGCAUAGCCGACCUGAGAGGGUGAUCGGCCACACUGGAACUGAGACACGGUCCAGACUCCUACGGGAGGCAGCAGUAGGGAAUCUUCCGCAAUGGGCGAAAGCCUGACGGAGCAACGCCGCGUGAGUGAUGAAGGUCUUCGGAUCGUAAAACUCUGUUAUUAGGGAAGAACAUAUGUGUAAGUAACUGUUCACAUCUUGACGGUACCUAAUCAGAAAGCCACGGCUAACUACGUG
rnacentral:rRNA from 1 species